UCAAUGACUUGCCGCUGGUAUCCUUACA
rnacentral:sRNA from 1 species